UGGCAUAAGCCAGCUUGACUGCGAGCGUGACGGCGCGAGCAGGUGCGAAAGCAGGUCAUAGUGAUCCGGUGGUUCUGAAUGGAAGGGCCAUCGCUCAACGGAUAAAAGGUACUCCGGGGAUAACAGGCUGAUACCGCCCAAGAGUUCAUAUCGACGGCGGUGUUUGGCACCUCGAUGUCGGCUCAUCACAUCCUGGGGCUGAAGUAGGUCCCAAGGGUAUGGCUGUUCGCCAUUUAAAGUGGUACGCGAGCUGGGUUUAGAACGUCGUGAGACAGUUCGGUCCCUAUCUGCCGUGGGCGCUGGAGAACUGAGGGGGGCUGCUCCUAGUACGAGAGGACCGGAGUGGACGCAUCACUGGUGUUCGGGUUGUCAUGCCAAUGGCACUGCCCGGUAGCUAAAUGCGGAAGAGAUAAGUGCUGAAAGCAUCUAAGCACGAAACUUGCCCCGAGAUGAGUUCUCCCUGACCCUUUAAGGGUCCUGAAGGAACGUUGAAGACGACGACGUUGAUAGGCCGGGUGUGUAAGCGCAGCGAUGCGUUGAGCUAACCGGUACUAAUGAACCGUGAGG
rnacentral:rRNA from 1 species